AACGCAACUUGCGCCCUUGGGAUAUGCCUGGGGGCAUGCCUUUUUGAGUAUCGGAUCUAACUCUUCACGCUCUGCGUGUGGGAAAAUGGGUUGUCUCGUGUUCACACCCGAGUCACCUGAAGUGUAAUCGACUCCGCCUUUGACCAAACCGCGGUGUAGAAGUUUUCAUUCGUGGAAAGUUCUACCAGUCCAACUGACGUGGGUAAACCCAAAAAAAAGCGUCGGACCUGGAUGGCUUCAAACCGAGGAUUUUGCCUUGUCAGAGGAUUUCGUGAGUAAAGACGCAACGUCUUGGCAUAUAUACUACUCCAAGUGUCGUUUGCAAAAAACUCUUAUGUUUUUUUUUAACAAAUAAGAUCUCAAAUAAGGUAAGAGUACCCGCUGAACUUAA
rnacentral:misc_RNA from 1 species